rnacentral:rRNA from 1 species
UACGGAGGGUGCAAACGUUGCUCGGAAUCACUGGGCGUAAAGCGAGCGUAGGCGGCCAUGUAAGUCGGGUGUGAAAGCCCUCGGCUCAACCGAGGAAGUGCAUUCGAAACUGCAUGGCUUGAGUCUCGGAGAGGAAGGUGGAAUGCUUGGUGUAGAGGUGAAAUUCGUAGAUAUCAAGCAGAACACCUGCGGCGAAGGCGGCCUUCUGGACGAUGACUGACGCUGAGACGCGAAAGCGUGGGGAGCAAACAGG